rnacentral:lncRNA from 1 species
GAGUCGAGGAAGACGAUGCUGCUGAAGCCGAUGCUCGUACCUUCUACCACGCCUUAGAUGAGGAUGAGGCGCACCCUGAUGGUGAAGAUAAUUCUUCCAAUUGUUGUUGAACAAGGAUCUCAACUCUGCAGACGUUUGAGUUAUAGGCUAAUUGGGGGCGCCUCAUGUUCCCUCCCGCUCUUCUAAUCUUCAUGUAAACCAUAUUUAUGUAGAAUCAGUCAAAUAUGUCUUCUUCCUACAACAGGGCGCGCCCUCAACAAGGGUCCCUCUGGACGCGGUCGGACAGAUGGGCGCGGCCUGACAGGUGGCCGAGGCCUGAAAUGUGGGCGCAGCCUGACAGGUGGCCGAGGCCUGACAGGUGACCGAGGCCUGACAUGUGGGCGCGGCCUGACAUGCGGGCGUGACUUGACAGGUGACCGAGGCCUGACAUGUGGACGCGGCCUGGCAUGUGGCCAUGGCCUGACAUCAAGUGGACGCGGCAUGUAAUGUGGACGCACCCUGACAAGUGGGCAUGGCCUGACAUCAAGUGGACGCGGCAUGUAAUGUGGGCGCGCCCUGGCAAGUGGGCGCGGCCUGUCAUGUGAUCCAGCCCAAUCUUGAAAAUGUCAGCCCAAAAUAGUUUUCCACCUAAAGCGCGCCCUUACUAGAGGUUCUUCUGGACGUGGCCAGAUAUGUGGGCGCGCCUACAUAUGAUUGGAGGCUUAACAACCGAGUGAUUGGAGGUCUUUCAUGGAGGCGCCUGUUAAGUUGGCGGCGCCAGUUAAGUGGGCGCGCCCACUUACUGAGCAGCCUAAUUCUGACCAUGUCCGGGCCCAAACAACAUAUCUCCGGUUUUCUAGUGGAUUUGUCUCAUUAGGCAAUCUCAUGUCUUCCUUCCAUCAAGGCGCUCCCAGAUUUUGGGUCUUCUUGGAGGAGCCAAAUAAGUGGGCGCGACCACAUUCUAUGCGGCCUCCAUCAAGUGCUUGUUGAUUUUUUGGUAACUUUCUCUCCCGGCUAGUUGAAUGCCUUGUAAUGGUAUUUUGAAGUUUUGAUCAUUUCUGAAGGCGCGCCUAGAACAAAUGUCGUCUCCAAGAUAUUAAGCUCAAAUUAUACCUCUGGCCUCCAAUAUUUUACUCAUAGCUCGUCUCAGGUUUCAUAGUUUUGUCCAGGUCAACAACUUAUAUGUUGGUAUUUGUCCUCGGUCUUCAACUUACAUCCNGAGUCGCGGAAGAUGAUGCCGAAGAGGCUGAGUCGAGGAAGACGAUGAUGGUAAAGCCGAUGCUGAAGUGGUUGAGUCGACGAAAACGAUGCUGCUGAAGCCGAUGCUCGUACCUUCUACCACGCCUUAGAUGAGGAUGAGGCGCACCCUGAUGGUGAAGAUAAUUCUUCCAAUUGUUGUUGAACAAGGAUCUCAACUCUGCAGACGUUUGAGUUAUAGGCUAAUUGGGGGCGCCUCAUGUUCCCUCCCGCUCUUCUAAUCUUCAUGUAAACCAUAUUUAUGUAGAAUCAGUCAAAUAUGUCUUCUUCCUACAACAGGGCGCGCCCUCAACAAGGGUCCC